rnacentral:rRNA from 1 species
AACGAACGCUGGCGGCAUGCCUAACACAUGCAAGUCGAACGAACCCUUCGGGGUUAGUGGCGCACGGGUGCGUAACACGUGGGAAUCUGCCCUUUGCUUCGGAAUAACAGUUAGAAAUGACUGCUAAUACCGGAUGAUGUCGAAAGACCAAAGAUUUAUCGGCAAAGGAUGAGCCCGCGUAGGAUUAGCUAGUUGGUGGGGUAAUGGCUCACCAAGGCGACGAUCCUUAGCUGGUCUGAGAGGAUGAUCAGCCACACUGGGACUGAGACACGGCCCAGACUCCUACGGGAGGCAGCAGUGGGGAAUAUUGGACAAUGGGCGAAAGCCUGAUCCAGCAAUGCCGCGUGAGUGAUGAAGGCCUUCGGGUUGUAAAGCUCUUUUACCAGGGAUGAUAAUGACAGUACCUGGAGAAUAAGCUCCGGCUAACUCCGUGCCAGCCGCCGCAGUAAAAC